GAAGAAGAAGAAGCCGACCUCAUGUUUGGACGCUACCACGGACGUAACUUAGCAGUUCGGUCUUUAAGUCUGCGUUAGUCUCUCCGUUUGUACUAAUUCGUCUAUCGUGUGACAAACUACACGUUAUUCAUUAUUAGUCCAAGUAUAAACUCGACUCGUCUCCGUGAACUUUGCAGCUUCUCGGGUUAGCUUAGCGUGCUAGUUAGCUUAGCUUGCUAGCUGCUAACAUAGAGACGCGGAAGUGAUCAACACGUCGCUAACUAGAGGUCAAGUGUGAGUGUGAAGUGUUGUGAUUGUGUGAAAAUGUGCGAAAGAAGGAUAGUAGCAGAGUACGAGGAGGAACUGUCUCGAACAAAAGAGGUGAAGGAGCGACAACGUCAACUACUGGACGCUGUUUGCAAGAAGCCUCAAGUUCAGUUGCACAAAGCCGAUGUCCAGCAGCUGACUGGACAUCAGAAAGAAAGUCCCCCUAAAUUGCAGGGGCGGAACUCCAUUUUGAAGCAGGAGGAUCCACAGCCCCCUCAUUUCAAAGAGGAAGAGAAGCACCUAAAGCCUGUAUAUGUUAAAGAGAAAAACGAGGAGCUAGAAACGCCUCAUGUAAAUGAGGAAGAGGAGGAUCCACAGCCGCCCCACUGUAAAGAAGAAGAGGAGGGAGAGUGUCUUCUAGGGCAGGAGGAGGCUGAUCUCACCAAGUUUCCACUGACUGUUGUCUCUGUGAAGACUGAAGACCAUGAAGACAAACCACCUGAGUCCUCACAGCUUCAUCACAGUCCAAGGCUGGAAAGCCGUGGCGACAUCAUCAUUCUCACGGUACUCUGGCGGAACGACACACCCCUCUCAACUCUGGAGACAGUUUUCAAAAAUCUUCGUUUCAGACUGCCGAAAACGCUGUUUGUGUGGAGAUAAAAGAGAGCGAAAGUUGCAAAGCAUGGUUGGUUGCAUGAACAAAGGCACUCGCAGCGCAGGAAGUGAUCACUGAUCAGUGGGCGUGACACGCUAACCGCCAAUCAGACGUCCAGCAGCUGAUUGGUCAUCAAGAAGAACCUCUCUCUUUGUUGCAGAAGGUGAGCUAUACUUUAAAGCAGGAGGAUCCACAGCCCCCCCACAUUAAAGAGGAAGAGGAGGAACUGUGCAUCACUCAGGAGGGAGAGUGUCUUCUAGGACAGGAAGAGGCUGAUCUCACCAACUUUCCACUGAUUGUUGUCUCUGUGAAGACUGAAGACCAUGAAGACAAACCACCUGAGUCCUCACAGCUUCAUCACAGUCCAAGUGAGGAGAAGAGAGAGGUGGAGCCUCCAAGCAGCAGCUCACCACAACACAUGACAACAGAAGGUGAUGGAGACCACUGCGGAGGAUCACAAGCAGACAACCUCUUAGCUCCACUGUCGGAUAGUGACGACUCAACGUCACACGUUAAUGUAAAUAUGAAAUCCCGCAUGAAAACACAUACAGGGAAAAAAACUUUCAUUUGUUCAGUUUGCGGUAAAUUAUCCUCCCAAAAACGCAAUAUGCAAAUACACAUGAGAACACAUACAGGAGAAAAACCUUUCAGUUGUUCAGUUUGCGCUAAACCAUUUGUUACAAACUCUGAUUUGACCCGACACAUGCGGACACACACCGGAGAAAAACCUUUCCCCUGCUCAAACUGUGGCAGAAAGUUUUCUCAAAGGGUAAGCAUGUUGUCACACAUGAGAACACACACAGGAGAAAAACCUUUCAGGUGUUCAGUUUGCGGUAAUUUAUUUUCAGAAAAACAUAGUAUGCAAAUACACAUGAGAAGACACCAAGGAGAAAAACCUUUCAGUUGUUCACUUUGCGUUAAGAUAUUCUCCGCAAAACAUACUAUGCAAAUACACAUGAGAAGACAUAGAGGAGAAAAACCUUUCAGUUGUUCAGUUUGUGCAAAAAACUUUGUGGUGCAGUCUGACUUGACUAGACACAUGCGGACACACUCUGGAGAAAAACCUUACAUUUGCUCAAACUGUGACAAAAAGUUUUCCCGAAAGGGAAGUAUGCUGUCACACAUGAGAACACACACAGGAGAAAAAAACUUUUAGUUGUUCAGUGUGUGGCAAAAGAUCCACUGACAAAAUAUAUUGCAAAGACACAUGAGAACACACGCAGGAGAAUAACUUUUCCUUUUCAGAAAGACCUCUUUGAAUGGACUUCUGCAGAGUCACUAAUGGUCUACUGCAGGGCUUCUCUAAAGUCUGUACUGUGUUCCAGAUCCAGGGACGGCGUGGCGAAGUUGGUAGAGUGGCUGUGCCAGCAAUCGGAGUGUUGCUGGUUACUGGGGUUCAAUCCCCACCUUCUACCUUCCUAGUCACGUCCGUUGUGUCCUUGGGCAAGACACUUCCCCCUUUGCCUCUGAUGGCUGCUGGUUAGCGCCUUGCAUGGCAGCUCCCGCCAUCAGUGUGUGAAUGUGUGUGUGAAUGGGUAAAUGUGGAAAUACUGUCAAAGCGCUUUGAGUACCUUGAAGGUAGAAAAGCGCUAUACAAGUAUAACCCAUUUAUCAUUAUUUAUUUAUAGAUCCAGACCAAGACUUAGUCUGGACCCAGCCGGGAUCCAGCCAGCCUACCACAUGUUAUGAAUUACAAAACACUAAGUUUCUUUUAGGUACUGGUUGAAAAAAUUAAAUUUGAUUCAGAAGAUCCAUUAAGGGUGGAACCGCACUUUUUACGGGAUUUUGCCUAUCAUUCACAAUCCUUAUGUGAGACAAGCCCACGUAUGUAUAACUGUUGUAAUGUGGUGUCCGAGGACAGACUCUCAGUUUGUUGGAGGUGUGGUGUGUUUACUGACAAAGCAUGCCUUAAACACCUGGCAAACAGAACAAAAAUCAAAGUAGCAACUUACACUAUCAAAAUGUACAAAGCAAAGAAUCUACUCAUUCAAAUCAAUAAAAUGAAGCACGUGAUUUGACAGCGGCAUGUCUGAAUUGGUCACAACAAAAUGGCUGCCGCAUGUCAAUACCAAAUACUAUGAAAAUGGGACCCAUUACCUCCCUGCUUGGCACUCAGCAUUGAGGGUUGGUAUUAUAAGUAAAUAAUGAUAAAUUGGGGGUUAAAUCACCAAAAUGAUUCCCGGGCGCGGCCACCGCUGCUGCUCACUGCUCCCCUCACCUCCCCGGGGGGGUGAACAAGGGGAUGGGUCAAAUGCAAAGGUUAAUUUUACCACAACUAGUGUGUGUGUGAGAGUCAUUGGGACUUUAACUUUAACAUUGAACCCUUCUGCUCUUUUAUAGGACUUCCAAUACUACCCAGAAUGCUCCGCAGUUUCCCAUAGGUUGGCUUACAAACAAAAUCCAACAUUUCGACACCUCAAACAGUUAAAGUUAUAGUGGUCAAAUAAAGGACCUCAAAGAUACUAACGCUAUCUAAUCCUCACAUUUGACCAACCUAAGACAAGAUGAAUUAAACAGAAGACAAACAGCUGUUAUUUGAUACGGUCUGAUGUCAUCAGUGAUGAUUUCAUCAAAACCAGGACACACCUGGCGGCUCCUGUCAUGAUCCGUCACCCGGGUCAUGGCAUGAUUUGGGUUUGUUAGUUUUUCUGUUUGAGUCUGUUUCCUGGGUGCACCCUCUUUCCCUGUUUUCUGUUGGUUUCCAUGGGCACUGAUUCUCCUCACCUGUCUUAGUUUUGCAAUUAGUGUUCCCACCAGGUGUUUUGGUUAAUCACUCCCCUUUAUAGUUUCCUGUCACCCAGCAUUAGUUGCUGGGUCAAUGUUUGCUACAGGCAACAUUUACGUUCUCCUGGUUUUUCCUCCUCGCUCUAGUGAUUUGUUUACACAAUAGCAUUCCCUGCUUUUUCACCCUUGGUGACCUUUUGGUUAUUUUAGCUCCAGGCUUGUUAGCGUCCUCAGUUUUGUAUUUUUGAUCCUGCCUUAAAAUAAUUAAAACCUUAAUUCUACCUGCACGCCGCUCCUGCUUGUCUUCUGCCUUGGAAGGAACGCUACCAGCUCAGCCCCAAACAUUUCUGAAGGUGAGCUGCCAUGCAAGUAUAACAUAACUUAAUACAUCAAUCUGAAGCCAAAAUAAAAACAGUACUGCAACAAAUGUUGGCAAACCAAUAACAUAAGUGUGUGAAUUUGACCUGUUGAGACGAGUGAUGAGUGCCAAGCCGUCAUAAUAACUAAUUAAUCCGUAACUCACUGUCCUUACAGUAGCUUUUCCUACAAGAUACUCUCCUUACAUAAUGUUGUGCAAAAAGCUGCAUAAUUCUAUGUCUAUUCAAAUGUAUCCAUUGCCAACAUUUGCAGUCUUCCGCAUAUGGAGUGUUCUAUCUUGGGUUUUUUUUCUGAUCAGUAUGAAAUAUUGACCAUAAUUAAUGUAGCACAGACUUACAGAUCAAUAAGCACAAACACACGGCAAACGUGAUCAAUAAUUCUCGGCCAAAUAUGAUAAUUUGCAUGCUCAAAUUAUGAUAAAAUGUCCCAGGAGCAUUGAUGAAGAAGUAAUGAUCUUAUGUGACUUAAUACCAGUCGUAUGGUGCAAUGCUUCUGUUGGAAAGUGUUAGAUUUGAGC